ACGUUCUCUUUCACAAACACUGAAAUACACCACUCUCGGCGAAUCACGGUCUAUCACCCCGAUUUGGAUCUCAAUCUCGAUCUCGCCCCCUGAUCUCGAUCUCAAUCUCGCCAUUGAUCACGAUCUCGAUCCAACUUUUGUUACUGAUUUGCAUGAUGUCAACUCUUACCAUCUGUUACACAAACUUGCAAAUGGUGAAUUCAUAAGUCUGUUUCUUUAGGUAUCUUGAAGAUCGCCGGGUCAGCUACUGGAUGGCCCUAUGUCAUUAUUCGUUCUUUCUAGUGGUGGAGUUGAUGAAUAUGGGGGUGGAGCUCCGUGGGGAAGGGAAUAGGUGCUGCAGUUUCCCUUAACUUACAUUCGAACACUUAUUUUCUUAACUUAUUACUAUUACCGUUACUUUCUAUCAUUGUAACGAAGGAUAGGCUCUCUAAGAUUACCGGUUAGCAAAAACGGUGUGACAGUGUUGGGAGAAUAUCCGGUGAUAGGGGAAUAAGGAAUCAUAGUUCUACAAAAGAGAUAUGAAUUCGCUGAUCUCAAAACGGGUCGUUGUCCCAACAUCGUCAAGAGAAGAUAAAUGUCUACACCCUAAGACCGGCAUAGAGAAUCCCGCUAGUAGCAGGCCCUGGCACUGGAAAAGCUAGCCGAUGUAUUCAUUGAAGGAUAAGUUAUCCUUAUGAUUUUUAAAUUACAACUGAUUGGUGUGCACCGAUUCAAAUAUUUUUAAUGUUUAUCUUUACAAUCGUAUAAUCAGUGGGAGUGGUGUUUAGUUAGAGGAUUUUUACACCAUAAGCGUAUCUUUGACAUGUUGUACUUUACAUAUUAUAUAUGGCUUACUGAAUUCCAUAUGCAAGUGUAACUGUUAUAAAUUGAUGCUAUCUAACUUUAUUUCAAAACACAGAAGUAUAAUUACAGGAAAUGUCUUCACCUGGAUAGUACACCAGCUUCGAGGUCAUAUUGUCAUACGGCAAUCCUUCCGAUAUUUGGAGUAAAAAGCUUUGUCAUGAGAAGUCGGCUCUGACAUCGCUCGAGGAUAGGUCGUGCUUAAUUUCAUCUGCGACGUUUUAUGCUUGGAUUGCCGAGAUGUCGGACCAUCUAGAUCUGUCAGCGUCGCGCCUCUUUGACAACCUUUCAGUCGAUCAGUCAGUCAGCAAAGAGAUGAGUCUUCUUAUGUUUCUGUGAUUUACUUUACUAGGACUACUAAGUGUUUGAUAAAAUGUCAUGUGUGUUAUUAAUUUGUUUUUGAGAACACUUAGCAAAGUUUAUGUGAAUGUCUAGAAUUCGUGUAGUUAUAAUAACUGAUAUUAAACCGUGACGCAUGGCUGCCAAACCGAGCUGUUGCAACUGCUAUUCUGAGUGUUGCAGGGGACGUAAAGUGUCGUGCCUGUUUAUGAGAAAUGCGGAGAUUUCAUAGUAACUUAAUCAAUGAGAAUGCUCUAAGAAUUUGAUUGUGCAGCUCGGGAACAUUUGAUAUGCGGAAAUUUCAUAAUAACUUAACUAUUAUGGAUGAACAUUUGAUAUCCGAAGAUUUCAUAAUAACUUAACUGUUAUGAUUCAGAUAAUAAUGUCACUAUUGUAAUACUAUACAUGUUUAAAUGUUAGUAGUUGCAAGUGUAUAGUGAGUUAGUAGUUUAAAUCUAUUUAGUAAACCAAAGAUAUAAUGAAACAAAAGUUGUGAUUUGUGAAGUUUAACUAAAAUAGAAUUUGAUUUUGAUGUAUUUUGCUUUUGUUAAUAAUAUUAAAAAUUGCUUUUUAGUUGUAUUUUUAAUUUAGUAAUUAUCAACAAUUAUGAUACCCUUAUAAGUUUUAUUUGUCAAUUUUUUUAAAUUAAGUCCAAUUAGUUUUUAUUAGAAAUAAUUAAGCCUAAUUAAUUUUGAUUAAAAAAAAUUUAAAAAAAUUGUUGUAUUAUUUAGCUUUAGAUUUACUACGAAUAUUUUCUGGUAAUAUUGUAGUUGUAUAGUUGGAGAAAUAUAAUUAAAGACUCACAU